AACCUCCGCAAUGUGAGAAAUCGCGACGGGGGGAUCCCAAGUGCCAUUCUUAACGGGAUGGCUUUUCAUUAGUGUAAAGAGCUUUUGGAAUAAGGGCUGGGCAAGACCGGUGCCAGCCGCCGCGGUAACACCGGCAGCUCUAGUGGUAGCAGUUUUUAUUGGGCCUAAAGCGUCCGUAGCCGGUUUAAUAAGUCCCUGGUGAAAUCCUGUAGCUUAACUGUGGGAAUUGCUGGAGAUACUAUUAGACUUGAGACCGGGAGAGGUUAGAGGUACUCCCAGGGUAGAGGUGAAAUUCUGUAAUCCUGGGAGGACCGCCUGUUGCGAAGGCGUCUAACUGGAACGGUUCUGACGGUGAGGGACGAAAGUUAGGGGCGCGAACCGGAUUAGAUACCCGGGUAGUCCUAACUGUAAACGAUGCGGACUUGGUGUUGGGGUGGCUUUGAGCUGCUCCAGUGCCGAAGGGAAGCUGUUAAGUCCGCCGCCUGGGAAGUACGGUCGCAAGACUAAAACUUAAAGGAAUU
rnacentral:rRNA from 1 species